CAGCCACAUCUGGAUCAGAACCCUGGUGACCUUGCAUCAAACCCUGUGACUUCUCCAAGCCUGUGUCCCCUUGGAAGCUGCAGGGAGGAUGCUGGAGGUUCUGGCUGCUGCAGGCCCAGCAGGUAUGCCUGGGCAAGCUGUCGGCGUGAUGAACAGCUUCCCUUGGCCGAGCAGAUAACAGAACACGUACAGGUUAACAGGCAGAGUGACGGCCAGACGCCUGACAUCGGCAGGGCGGCUGCUCGUAGGAACUGGCUGGGUACUCCCAUCCUCCUUCAGUCCCAGAAGGCUCUUUGUAGAAGUAGGGCUGGCCUUUCUUCCAGCUGUGGGGAUGCCAGGAGCCGCCACACCAAAGCUCUUGGGGCCUUGAGGGCUGGUUGUCAAAAACAGCCAUUUAGACUCCUCAGUUCCUGGAGGAGGAGCUACCAGCAUUCCAGUUCUGUCCUUCCUGUGUGAUCCUUGUCCCCCACUGUGAGGC